GGAUAUCUAUCCACAGUGAAUCUGGUGGCCAGAGUAGCUGGGUACAUUGAAUCCUCUACUUCAAAAGUCGAUGAGGUGUUGUUACUGUGAAUGUAAAACACAUGGGAGACGGAAGGGAGAAAAAGAAGAGAUGAAGAAGCCUUUGAAAUUGAUCCAGUGCCUCAUAUCAUGCAAGACCACAGUCAGGCUGAAAGUACAAAUUUCCCAAGUUCCCCUGCAACUCCUGUACUCCUGUCAUCACUAAACACAGUACCCCUCAGGCUGGGGAGGAUGUGUGAAAGGUGAAUGCAGAGAACCUCUCCCCAGGGUCCAGACAGCAUUUUUAGAGCCAGGCAUUGCUUUAUGUUGCCAAGGGGGAAGUUCGGUGGUUCGGUGAGCAUGAUGAUGACAGUUUGAUCAAGAUGAUCAUAGUGAUCUUUUCCAACCUUAAUGGUUCUAUGACUCUACUGUAUGUUUUGUGUGCUGAAGACAAUAGCCAAAUAAUUAACUGAACCAGGAACCCAGCUUAUUGUAGUUAUUAUGCCUAGCAAGUACAGUGGAAACUUUGGUGGAAAGCUAGGUCUCAUUUCAGGCCACCUAAGCUCUUCUAUGAGAAAUGUAUGCCAGCACUGGUUUCAGCCUGUUCACUAGGAUGAGUGCGUAUACUUGUUCCUCCUUCCUGCUCCUACAGUAAAAAAACAGACUGGCAUGUGUUGUACUUGCUGGUUUGAACGGAAGAAGAUAGACAUGAAUAUGAAAUUUUUCAUAUCUGCAAUUUUUCUUUUGCCUCCCACCAUCUUUUUGAUUAGUGUAGACAGCUGUCUCCAGCACAUACCAUUACUGAUCAUGAAGAGAGAAAAAGUAAACAUCUUGUCAACAGAGGUAAUGGACAAAGGAUUCUUUUCAAUACACCCCAUGCUAAUGGGGUCUUUGGCUCAGCAAUCUUCAGCCUGGAAAGUGCAUGACAGAAAUGUAUAUAGCUGUUCAGUAAUUUAGAGAAAACAAAUGUGGAAAAACUGUCCACAGAGAAUUACAAAAAUGGAGCAUUUGAAGGUGGAAAACACAGAACAAAGGAAAUAGUCGGGAUCUUCACAAAGCCUUAUCAGGCUGUGGAGGUCUUUGCUGCAUAUGGCUGAUGUAGAUGUUUGCAGGAGUCCACAAAGCAGUAGGGCAAACCCAUGGAAGAAAACUGAUGCAGGUCUCUGAAUUUUGAGGGUAAGAUUCAUGGCUCAAAACCUGGCAGUAUAGUCCAGUGAGGAGAAGAUACUGAAUUAUAUGGACUCAUGCAUGACCUUGAUGUGACCAUUCCUUACUUCAUGUUCUUUUAGCAUGCUAUAUGAUUGAAUCAAAGAUCACUCCUUACAUAGGUUUGUUGGACCUGGCACAAGGAUAUCAUAUGGUAAUAACAAAUCUAAAACAACAUUUAUUUUCUCCACAUUUAUUCAGUGCAGAUAAUGAUUCUUUCCAGGCCCACACCUGAAAGCACAGUCUAGUCUGUUUUGUUCUGGCUUGUAGAUUUUAAUUCUGAGUGUUAGUUUCACUUUGGAUGUCUCAUUAGCAGGGUGACAUUUUCCUAUUAGAUGAAAAUGUUCAACACAGAUUUCCUUGUCGCCACGUUACUGUCAUCUUGUCUUUUGUCAUCAUGGCUGAUGGUUCAACGUGCUCUGAUCUACUAUCCUUUUUUUUUUUUUUUUUUUUGUGUGUGUGAUGCAGUUAUUAUUGUGUGCUCUAUCUCUCUCUCCCUUUCUCUUCUUCGGCAGUGAUAAAAAGAAUAAAUAAAAAUGAAAUAUACAAAGUAUAAACUGCCUUUAUGACUGAAUGACUUUCUUGCUGCAUUAAGCAAUUUCUUUUGUGCCAGCACCUCUCGUGAAAGCUCAGGAUGUUCUCCUGAUGUAUUCAUGAGAGCUACUUUGCUGCAAUCAUUGCAUGCAUGGCUGAUUUUUUUUGAAACAAGCUCAUGAUUAUUGAUAUCUGGGAUUCUUCUUUUCAGCUUAGUAGCCAGGAGGGGGUGUCCGUAUCUUACAAAUCAGCUCUCCUUCAAGACUGGUGGCAAAAUAACUUCUAACAGGCACAGCACUGUGAAAUAUCUUGUCUCUAUAAGCUAUGCAGAGAGGGGAAAGUGGUGAGGAACAGUACAAACACAACAGCAUAAAUGGGAGCUGAUGCAGAGCUGCAGGAAGCCUCGUUCCUGGAGACAUUCAAGGCUGUGCUGGACGGUGGUCUGAGCACCCUGGUUUAGCUGUUGAUGUCUCUGUUCUUUGCAGAUGAAUUGAACUAGAUGACUUUCAAAGGUCCCUUCCAACUCAAACAAUUCUGUAAUUCUAUGAUUCUACAGAGGGCGGAGGGAGGCUGUGGGGAGCAGCAGAGGAGAGUCAAGAGGAGAAAGGGAAGAGGAAGGGGAUUCCCACGAUGUAAUAGAGCAUGUCAGAUAGAUCUUCUUUGUGCUAUUUUUGAUCUUCUUCAUUGCUUUACAUUUGGCACCAAG
rnacentral:lncRNA from 1 species